rnacentral:tRNA from 1 species
GAGUGUAGUUCAAUGGUAGAACUCCAGCUUCCCAAGCUGGUGGCGCGGGUUCGAUUCCCGUCACUC